GCUGACUACUGCUGAUAACUUUCUUCUCUUCCAAUUGCCUGGGGAUGACAUCUAGAACAAGAUGUUCCAUUAUGUUUCCAGGGAUGGAGGAAACACUCGGGAGCCAGAAGGAAGACUCUGAACUCUGGAGUAUUGAUAUGCACACUCCUUCCUGUCAGUGACCCUGAACUAUAUGACUGCUGAGAUGUGCCUCGCUCCUGCUGGAAGCAUCUGACAUGGAAAUGGCAGCAGCUGCUGCUUCCAUUUCACCAGAGAUGAGAUCUGAGAACACUAAUUUGUGGAGGCUUUUUCCUCAUCUUUAGUUGAAGAGUCUUGUGAUUCUGUCACACUAACUGACUGUGGGCAUAAUAACGGACAAAUGAUGCUGCAAAGCUGUCAGAUCUAGAACAGGCCUUGGAACAUCACUUCUCUUCAACCCUCACACUGGCAAUCUGCACUACUGGUUAGUAUCUGUAUGGUGUAUUUGGAUCUUGUUCAUAAACUAUACACCAUGUACAGGCAUUAUGCAUUAUAGGAAGUAAUUCAGAGCACAGUAGGGAAAACAAAGGCAACUACGAGAUUAAAAUUGAUGAGGAAAGUAUUGGCCAUUUGUUCUACACCCCACUGAAACCCCAGAAGUGUCACCAGUAUCUCCACUUUUGCAAGCUCAGCAGUACUCCUGUUUGGAAUCAUCCCUUUGGCAUCUGGUCAGCUUCCACACAGCAGGGCUGGUCAUCAUGUAGAUCUCUCUGGAAAUUCCACUCUCCCUCAUUUAGGGCACUGUGAAUUUGUAAAAAAGGUUUUCCAUUGAGGAAGAAAAGAGACAACAUAGAGUUGCUGUUGUGAACAGAGAAUGAAGAAGAAUAAAACUGUGAGUCCAUUA